UUGUCCAACACCUGUGCACGAAUAUAUGUAACAAAAUAUGUUACAAACGUGCGGUAUGAAAUGCAGUAAUUUGACCGUGGACUGUGUUGUGGUUGUUGUGGGUGGAAGGUUACAGACAAAGAGAUUUGGUUUUAAUGCAACUGAAAAGGAUAAAUUGUUGAAGAUUUUUGACACCAUCGUUAGAUACGCUACACGUGUUGUCUAUUAAGCGGAAUUAGUAGAGUGACAGUCUAAAUGCGAUGCAGGAUUUUUAUCCGUCUUAAUCAACAGGAAUUUACAUGUCACGAAGUACGAUUAAGUUUUUUUGUACUUCAGAGAUACAUGAAAGAAUUACCAGCAAAAUGCUAAGAAGUAGGAAAGGCAAUUGUGGCUUAUGAGACAUUUGAACACAAAAUGUAAAGACCCUGAACAAAUCUUGCAAAGCGUUAUGUUCAACUUACUAAAAUUUUAUCCAGUUCGUCAUCUUUGUUUCUCAAGAUUUUUACGAUUGAAUAACAAUAGCAAACAUAUGAAAUAUAAAACUGUUGCAACGGUAGCAAAUUCGUAUAACUUGGAAGUGUGUACAAGACCCGAAAUAGAUCGACCCAGUGCGCAACCGGUGCUAAAUUAUCGACCUCGAAAGAAUGAAAGGCAAAAUCGACCUCGGCGGAAUUUGAACUCAGAACGUAAAAACAGACGAAAUGACGUUAAGCAUUUCACUCGGCGUGCUCACGAUUCUGCCAACUCGCUGCCUUGUAUGUUGUUCUAAAUAUUAAAAGCAAUGACAUUGUAAUUCUUACAACGAAUCGAAAAUUCUAAUUCUAAUAAUAUCACAUUUUAGAAGAGCUGUACAAAUCUCCUUUACCAUACAAAUAUGAAGGAAGAAUUCGGAUACAAUGCACAUGCAUAUAUAUAUAUAUACAUAUAAUUCCUAAAAAAAAUCAACGAAGAACAAAACUCAGCAAGAAAAAGCAACAACGCGAGGAUGUGGUAUCUAACCACUUAAGGAUGGAUGGAUGUACACAUGUCUAUAAAUAAUGAUAGAAAAAUAAUACCGGAAUGAAACUAUCAGCAUUACGAUACUGCAAACACAUGAAAUUAUACAUGCAAAGCACCAGAAUGGAAAACUAUACAUAUAUGAAGCGAAAUAAGAAUAAAUGAAGGCAAAUAAUGAAGAUAAAUAGAGCAAUAAAAGAAACAGAACAGAAUGUAGCCAGGUGUUUUAUAUAUCAGGUCUCUUGUAUAUUUUUGUAUGCUUUACCUUGACUCAAAAUAUUACACAGUUUAUUUGUGUGCUUUUUAUCUAUUCAUAUUCUUAUGAGUACCAAGAAGAAAUCACCGAUAUACAGCGUAUUCAUCAUAGCAAUUACGCAUGUGCACUUCUAUAAGUUUAUGCGUGCUUGUGCGUGGUUCAGAGUUGCGCAUUCAGCCUCUCAUAGAAAGUGUUUAGUUAUAUUGCUCGUUAUAUUUAUGGUAAAUAUAAUAAGCUCUCUUCAUUUCCGAGACUUGUGGUUAUACACGAUUCUUUACCAUUGACAACAAGACAUCCAAGUGCCUAGUCUAACAGCUUUUGAACGGAGACAGGCAUUACUAUAUAUAUAAAUCCACCCAAAAGGAUUUGGUCGGCCCGAUGAGUUCAUGAAAUUUGGUUCUUUUCCUUAAAACUAUAUAUUUCUA